rnacentral:rRNA from 1 species
CAAUAGCAUAUAUUAACGUUGUUGCAGUUGAAAAGCUCGUAGUUGAACUUUUGGUAGGAGCGACCUGGCCUUGGGCGCAUGCCCUUGUUUGCCGCGUGCCGUGUCUGGCCAUCCUUUUCCGCUUCGGCGGGAAUCUUUUACUGUGAGUAAACUGGAGUGCUCAAAACAAGACGUUUGUUUGGUACAUUAAAGCAUGGAAUAAUAAGAUAGGACCUGGUUACUAUUUUGUUGGUUUGCAUAGCUAGGUAAUGAUUAACAGGGACAGUUGGGGGUAUUCGUAUUUAAUUGUCAGAGGUGAAAUUCUUGGAUUUAUGAAAGACGAACGACUGCGAAAGCAUUUACCAAGGAUGUUUUCAUUAA